CAGCCGCCACGGGAAUACGAAGGGUGCAAGCGUUACUCGGAAUUACUGGGCGUAAAGCGUGCGUAGGUGGUGGUUUAAGUCCGUUGUGAAAGCCCUGGGCUCAACCUGGGAAUUGCAGUGGAUACUGGGUCACUAGAGUGUGGUAGAGGAUAGUGGAAUUUCCGGUGUAGCAGUGAAAUGCGUAGAGAUCGGAAGGAACAUCUGUGGCGAAGGCGACUAUCUGGGCCAACACUGACACUGAGGCACGAAAGCGUGGGGAGCAAACAGGAUUAGAUACCCCAGUAGUCCCUGUCUCUUAUAC
rnacentral:rRNA from 1 species